AAUAUAAAUUUUUAAUUUAUUUAUUUAGUCGUUCAUUAACAAGUCCGGUGCUUUAUAAUAUAUUUAAAGGUGGUAAGGACGUGAAGAAAACAGGUUUGUAAAUGAUGUUGUACAUCAUGCAGAUAGCUCAGAAGAAGAAGCAGGAAUGUUUGACUGGAAAUAUAAACGAUGUUGUACAUAAUGCAGAUAGCUUAGGC
rnacentral:lncRNA from 1 species